AAAUUGACCAGACCACCAGUCUGUCACUCGCUUCUCACUGCUGCCAACCGCUGGUCGCCGGUCUUGCCAACUCUCGCCGCCCUCUGCAGUGAGGGCCCUCCAGGCCUCCACGCCAGGUGCCGGGUGUUGGCUGCUGGUGCUUCUCCUUCUCUCACUGCUUCUCCGCUCACGCUGCAUGCUGCCGUGCAGUGGACCGCUGAUGCUGCCGCCGGCUGGUAAACUAAACAGUGAACUGUUGUUGAAGCGUCGAAGGAGCAAGACUGCUGCAAGAGCAAAGGUAACAACCAUGGUCUAGGAGAGCAUAUCUGUAGUUAUUGGUUGUAGGCAUCUUUUGGUCAGUCCGGUGUGUUCUACAGUUGUGGCUAUGGAGCACUUUUGGCCAGUUCGGUGUAUUCUACAGUUGUGGUUAUGGAGCACUGGAUAACAGUAGUAAUUAUCCACAAGACCAGGGACGAGCGAAAACAAUUACAUCCUAGUCCGGAAUGCACUUUCUACCAGUUCAUCCAUGG